rnacentral:rRNA from 1 species
UACGUAGGGGGCAAGCGUUGUCCGGAUUUAUUGGGCGUAAAGAGCGUGUAGGCGGCCUGAAAGGUCAGCUGUGAAAACUCGAGGCUCAACCUCGAGACGUCGGUUGAAACCAUCUGGCUAGAGUCCGGCAGAGGGGGUAGAAUUCCACGUGUAGCAGUGAAAUGCGUAGAUAUGUGGAGGAACACCGAUGGCGAAGGCAGCCCCUGGGUCAAGACUGACGCUCAUGCACGAAAGCGUGGGGAGCAAACAGG